rnacentral:misc_RNA from 1 species
UCCGGUUUGUCACCGGCAGUCUCCCAUGAGUCCCCGGCAUUACCCGCUGGCAACAUGGAACAGGGGUUGCGCUCGUUGCGCCACUUAAGGCAACAUCUCACGACACGAGCUGACGACAACCAUGCACCACCUGUACACCGACCUUGCGGGGAGCACAUCUCUGCACUUUUCCGGUGUAUGUCAAACCUUGGUAAGGUUCUUCGCGUUGCGUCGAAUUAAUCCGCAUGCUCCGCCGCUUGUGCGGGCCCCCGUCAAUUCCUUUGAGUUUCAACCUUGCGGCCGUACUCCCCAGGCGGGGUACUUACUGCGUUAGCUGCGGCACCGACGGUAAACCGCCGACACUUAGUACCCAUCGUUUAGGGCGUGGACUAC